UCUGUGGACACUGUGAAGAAAUCACAUCUACCCCUCCAUAGCAUGGAUCAGAAAGGGUUAUGAGAAAAGAGAACUUUGAAAAAGGCAGGAUCAGCACUGUGUCCAAGAGUGAAAGUCAAAUUCAAGAGGAAGUGCUUGUCCUACAUUGGCCAAUAGAAGCAGGAGCACACAGAGGAGGAUUAGAAGACAAAUCAACUAAAGCUAAUUGUAGUCGCUCUCAACAGUAGAGAAGCAAAAGGCCAGACUCUUCAAAGUCUUUGUAAAAGGCCAGAACAGGAUGGAUGGUAUUAAGGAAUUAUUAAUACUUACUGAGCUCUUGCAGAUAAUGAAAAGUUAAUCUGCUUACAGAACCUUGGCAACACCAAAAAAAAAAAAAAAAAAAAAAACCAAUGUCUCUUUUAAGAUGCUGAAGAUUACCUAAAAAGCCUGUCAGCAGAACCAUGACAUGCGUAGAUGUGGUGCCUGAUGCUCCCUGGCUGAGGAUUCUUUCUGACGAAAUACAAGCUACCCACCUGUGACUAAAGUAGUCAUAUAUGGAUGUGAGAGUUGGACUGUGAAGAAAGCUGAGCGCUGAAGAAUUGAUGCUUUUGAACUGUGGUGUUGGAGAAGACUCUUGAGAGCCCCUUGGACUUCAAGGAGAUCCAACCAGUCCAUCCUAAAGGGAAUUAGUCCUAAAUAUUCAUUGGAAGGACUGAUGCUAAAGCUGAAACUCCAAUACUUUGGCUACCUCAUGCGAAGAGUUGACUCAUUGGAAAAGACUCUGAUGCUGGGAGGGAUUGGGGGCAAGAGGA
ensembl:lncRNA